GGGCCUGUAGCUCAGGUGGUUAGAGCGCACCCCUGAUAAGGGUGAGGUCGGUGGUUCAAGUCCACCCAGGCCCACCA
rnacentral:tRNA from 1 species